UAAGCUGUAAAGGCAACCUGCCUCUGAUAUCUAUCACCCUUUUGAUGACCAGAGUUGAAUCAGCUAAUCUGGAACUCUAGACAGGUGUCCUCUUCCUCCCUCACCACUUCAUUUGAUGUGCAUCCCUCCUGAAGCUACACACUUGAUGGCAAGGAAUGACCGUUCUAGAGAGAGGAGGAGGACCAACCAGUCUCUGUCAAAGCUAUACAAUCAACUGCCUUCCCUGGCUAAAACCUCCAAACAAGCUCUCCAAGUCCAAAGAUAGAUGGUAAGCCUUGAUAAUUUUAAUAAAUGUGACAAGAUUGUAUUAUGAAUUAAGAUUCCUCGCAUAUCUAC
rnacentral:snRNA from 1 species